rnacentral:rRNA from 1 species
GACGAACGCUGGCGGCGUGCUUAACACAUGCAAGUCGAGCGGUAAGGCCUCUUUGGGGGUACACGAGCGGCGAACGGGUGAGUAACACGUGGGUGACCUGCCCUCCUCUCUGGGAUAAGCCUGGGGAACUGGGUCUAAUACCGGAUAUGACUCAUGAUCGCAUGGUUGUGGGUGGAAAGUUUUUUCGGUGGGGGAUGGGCCCGCGGCCUAUCAGCUUGUUGGUGGGGUGAUGGCCUACCAAGGCGACGACGGGUAGCCGGCCUGAGAGGGCGACCGGCCACGCUGGGACUGAGACACGGCCCAGACUCCUACGGGAGGCAGCAGUGGGGAAUAUUGCGCAAUGGGCGGAAGCCUGACGCAGCGACGCCGCGUGGGGGAUGACGGCCUUCGGGUUGUGAACCUCUUUCGGCCCCGACGAAGCGUUUGUGACGGUAGGGGUAGAAGAAGCACCGGCCAACUACGUGCCAGCCGCCGCAGUAAAAC